AUAUGUCACCGUGAGAUUCCCUAUGCAGAGGCCCAUGUGGCAACAAACUGAUGUGUCCUUCCAACAACCAGGCCUGAGACCUCACAAGACCCAACUGGAUCUCCCAGACAGAGCAGGCAGAACACCAUUUCUGCUGCCCCACAGCCCUCAAAGUUGUUACUCCCCGACUCUGGAAGGUUCUCAGUGACUAGAGACUGGUGCGGACCCCCAGCACAGUGUAGCCACCCCCAUGAAAACGUGGGAACCCUCAAGAGACAACUGAAAAAAUCUCUCUCACAACCAUCAUCAAGAUCCCAUUCCCUGCUGCCUCCAAGCUGGGGAGAGAACAUAAAGCUUGAGCUCGCCUCAGACCAGUGGUAUACAGCUCAGGACAGCCAAGGUGAGAUCUGCAACCAACACUCAAGUGGAAGAGGAGCACACACUUUCAGACCACUGAGGGGGUGCAUGACUGCAAUCAUGAGCAAAAUACAGAUGAGCAUGUGGCUGAAGAAGAGUCUACCUACUGGCCAUUAUAUUUAAGCACCAUCUACUGCAUCACAGUGUAACAUCAACAGCAAAAAUACUUUGUUAAUAUACCCCCUGGGGAACUAAGGACAAUAAUUUAACUACAAAUAAAGACCCUACCUAAAGCCUUAGCCCUCUGAAAAUAUCCAGAAAAAAAAGUCUACUGACUGUACUCAAAUUACACUGCAGUUAAAGGAACAUCAACCCACACAGAUAACAAAGAAACAACAUGAGAACUCUGGCAACUCAAAAAAGCCAGAGUGUCUUUUUUCCUCCAAAUGACUACAUUAAUUCCCCAGUAAGGGAUCUUAACUUGGCCGAAAUGGCUAAUAUUACAGAAAUAGAUUUCAGAAUAUGGUCAGGAAGGAAGAUCAUUGAGAUUCAGGAGAAAGUCAAAACCCAAUCCAAGAAAUAUAAAGAUUACAAUAAAAUGAUACAAGAGCUGAUACACAAAAUGGUCAUUAUAAGAAGAAUGAAACUGACCUGAUAGAGCUGAAAAAUGCACUAUAAGUGUUUCAUAAUGCAAUUGCAAGUAUUAACAGCAUAAUAGACCAAGCUGAAAGAAUAUCAGAGCUUAAGGACUGGUUCUUUGAAAUAACUCAUUCAAUCAAAAGUAAAGAGAAAAGAAUAAAAGACGAAUAAACAAGACCUCUGAGAAAUAUAGGAUUAUAUAAAGAAACCAAAUCUAUGACUCAUUGGCAUCCCUGAAAGAGCUAGGGAAAAAGCAAUCAACUUGGAAAACAUAUUUCAGGUUAUCACCCACAAAAUCUUCCUCAACCUCACUAGAGAGGACAAAAUUCAAAUCCAGGAAAUUCGGAGAACUCAUACAAGAUACUACAAAAGACCAUCCCCGAGACACAUAAUCAUCAGAUUCCCCAAGGUCAAAAUGUAAGAAAAAAAUGCUAAAGGAAACUAGAAAGAAAGGACAGGUCACCUACAAAGAGGACCCCAUCAGGCUAAUAGCAGACCUUUCAGUAGAAACUCUACAAGCCAGAGGAGACGGGGGCCUAUAUUCAGCAUUCUGAAAGGAAGAAAUUCCAACCAAG
rnacentral:lncRNA from 1 species